UACGAAGGGGGCUAGCGUUGCUCGGAAGCACUGGGCGUAAAGCGCACGUAGGCGGAUUGCUAAGUCAGGGGCGAAAUCCUGGAGCUCAACUCCAGAACUGCCCUUGAUACUGGCGGUCUCGAGUCCGGGAGAGGUGAGUGGAACUGCGAGUGUAGAGGUGAAAUUCGUAGAUAUUCGCAAGAACACCAGUGGCGAAGGCGGCUCACUGGCCCGGUACUGACGCUGAGGUGCGAAAGCGUGGGGAGCAAACAGG
rnacentral:rRNA from 1 species